GACGAUCGCUGGCGGCGUGCUUAACACAUGCAAGUCGAACGGAAAGGCCCUGCUUGCAGGGUACUCGAGUGGCGAACGGGUGAGUAACACGUGGGUGAUCUGCCCUGCACUUCGGGAUAAGCUUGGGAAACUGGGUCUAAUACCGGAUAGGAGCCAUCUUUAGUGUGGUGGUUGGAAAGUUUUUUCGGUGUAGGAUGAGCUCGCGGCCUAUCAGCUUGUUGGUGGGGUAAUGGCCUACCAAGGCGGCGACGGGUAGCCGGCCUGAGAGGGUGUACGGCCACAUUGGGACUGAGAUACGGCCCAGACUCCUACGGGAGGCAGCAGUGGGGAAUAUUGCACAAUGGGCGCAAGCCUGAUGCAGCGACGCCGCGUGGGGGAUGAAGGCCUUCGGGUUGUAAACUCCUUUCGCUAGGGACGAAGCUUUUUUGUGACGGUACCUAGAUAAGAAGCACCGGCUAACUACGUG
rnacentral:rRNA from 1 species